rnacentral:misc_RNA from 1 species
UUUCAUGAAAAUCCCAGUUAGCCAAAAUGUUAUUUGGUUGGUCCGCAUCCGCACGUACAAUUUUCCAAUUCAUUUUGUAGUUUCUGAACUUCAUUUUGAAGGACUUUGAUGUGCUGAACUGCCAAAUCCAACAUGUCUGCAUAGCUCGUUUGCUUAUCCAUGUUUGGAACAAGCUCUUGCAGUUUCUUCAAUCUCCCACUUAUUCUGGUUCUUCUCUCCCU